UCGGAAAACUGUUUUAAAUGUUUAUAGGAUUAACAAAACAAAUUUCUUAAUUUACUGGAAGACUCCAAAGAGGAUGAGGACUUAAGGCUCUCGGCUUAAGGACUCGGGCUCUACCAAACCAAACGCAACUUACUAGAGCCUUUUACAAAAAAUAUAAAAAUAAAUGGAACAACCAACAUG